UAACGCGUGAGGAACCUGCCUCAAAGAGGGGGACAACAGUUGGAAACGACUGCUAAUACCGCAUGAAGCAUAGGGGUCGCAUGAUUCUUAUGCCAAAGAUUUAUCGCUUCAAGAUGGCCUCGCGUCUGAUUAGCUGGUUGGCGGGGUAACGGCCCACCAAGGCGACGAUCAGUAGCCGGACUGAGAGGUUGAACGGCCACAUUGGGACUGAGAUACGGCCCAG
rnacentral:rRNA from 1 species